CCUAACUGUAAACCUGAAGACCUGCAGAGACUUCAGUAAAUCUGCUCCUUUGAAGAAAGGCAGUCGGGCUGCUGUGAGGAUCACUAUUGGGAGAACGGUGAAGUACACCGUGCAGCAGCCCUACAGCGACCCCAUGUGCUUUGAUGAGUGGAAACACUUCUCGCUACAGAUCCAGAAGGAAGACAUUUGCGGUGUCCAGCAGUCGAGUUUGGUGGUGGUGGAACUGAUUAUGGUGGAUCCUGAUUUAACCACCCCCAUACUCAUUGGCAGAGACACCAUCAUGCUGCAGG